UGCAGCCCUAAAAAGAAGAAAAAAAAAAAUCGCUUGUUUCUGGCCCAGGCUAGAUGACCUUGAGCAAAUUUGGUUCUAUUUUUGCAUUAAUUCAAUCAGGUCCAUAGCAUUAUGUGAAGAUGUGACAUGAACUACAAGAUCUUUUGAAACGUGAAUGAGGAGAGACUUGAAAUUCCUUUAAGAAGUCCAAAUUGCUUCCUGUGCCCCUGUGAGACUUUUUCUAGACUCAUUGAAUGUGAAGUUUGAGACAAUGUCCUAGGCAGGUUUCUGUUCUAAGAGUAGACCUGGUGCUGCAUUUCUGAAGACCUUCUAUUUUGGGGGGGGGACUUUUUUUCUACUAUUCUCGAUAAUGCAAAAUUUCACUUAUCUGCUUCUUGAGAGUAGGCAUGUGUGUGUGUCUGUGCAUGCACACUUGAAUGAUCAUGUGCUUAUGUUCACACAGUCAUCCCCAGAAAAUCUGGGAAAGCGGACCACACCAUAGGAUGUGCAGGCCUGGGAAUUUCAUUUGCUCCAGCUCAAGGUCAGACCCAAGUCAAAUUCACCCAAUGUGCUGUACCAUCCUCAAACUGGACUAGCAUCAGUUUCCAGUCUGGACUAGAAGCUUCAAACUUGAGUGCCAAGAGAGAUUGUGAAGAAAAAGUAGAUGAAUAGAACAGACGGUUGUGGACCAUUGGUUAUAAGGACCAGCAGGGAUAGCAUCACCUGGGAACUUAUCAGAAAUGCAAAUUAUCAGGCUCUUUCCCUGGACUGUUGAAUCAAAACUCUGGGGUGGAUCCAGCAAUCUAUGUUUUAAAAAGCCCUGCAGAAGACAGAUACUCAUGGAUUGUGAAAAUGCCAACUGGCCCACAUUGGACCUUGCUCACAGGGCAGAAAUUCAUCAUUUAGUCGUUGGCAAUGCAAAUUCUCUUCAACCCCUUGGAAACCAUUCCUGUUAGCCAUCCUUCAGAGGGUCGAUGCUGGGGCACAGUGUGAGCAGAAGAUGUAAAACCUGUUCUUCCUCUUGCGGAUGAUCUGCUACUACUUCAUUCUGAGCUGGGGAAAAUUGCAUGUGCAUCUGGUGACCUCCUUUUCUAUGGAGUGAAACCAUCUGGAAAUGUGAUUGUGAAGCUUGCUGAGCAGGAAAGAGAGAGCUGGAAAGUGAAGCCCAGGCUUUAUACUACCUCAGCUCUGAAACAGAAAAGACUGAGAGGAGAAAUGAAACUUGCAAGAUGAUGUCCCCCUUGGCUAGAACUCAGAGGAUGAUAAUCUGCACAACUACAGUGCCCAUUAUCUGGGCUGAGAUAUUCCAGAAGCAGAGAUGGGCCGGAAAGAGUAUGUUUCCAUCUUCUGUGCAGAAGGACUCCGUGGAACUUAGGAACAUGUAACUCUGAAGCAAGCGAGUCUGAUUGAGAAAGCAUAUUGCCCUCUUGUGAUCAGUGCAUUUUGACCUCAAGGGUACCACGUUCCACCAGUGAUAUAUAAACUCCAUGGGGCUCUGUCACAUCCUUGGAGGCAAUGCCCACAUCCCCACUCUGGGGAAGGAGGCCACCCAGUGCAACAGGGAUAGGGAUGCCUUUUUUGGAGAUCUGGAAAUUGUUACUACAUUUACAUUGAUUCUGUCCUCCUCUACAACUAACACAUCGGAAGGAAAGCCAUAAAAGGUAAUCUCUGGAUGCUUUCUCUUUGGAGUCCAAGACCCAGCUAGGGUCUGGGGUGGGAUGGGAAUAAUCACGCCCAACUGUAGGAUGAAGCAGUCCUAGAAGUAAUUGGGCUCUGGGACUAUAUGGGAGUGAAGGGGUAGAUAAAUCUCACAGCACUCUUCCAAUCUUAGGUUUCUGGAGACCAAAAUAUUCUUUUUCUUUGAAUUACCUUGGCAUAGUUGGUCUUUGCCAUGGCAAACAUCUGAGCCCCAUUGUUUGUGCAAUUUGGCCUGAAAAUAGAGACCUCAGCACUUCUCAGCUCAGCUGUGUGUGAGUGCUGCUGCCCUGCAUACCUCAUUUCUUACUGGUCUUCAUAAAUUCUGCUGCUGUCAGCUCAGGUUUUGUUUGUGGGAGCUAACACUGCCAGUGGUCAGGAAGAACAGCGUGAGCCAAAUUGUCCAUCCGAAUGUAUUUAGCAUCUAAUGCUGAGAUGUAAAGAAACCAAGAGAAAGGGGGAAGGAAAAUGAGAUGCCCUGGUGGAAACCUGCUAAACAUGGAGAACAUUUGGCAGGAGAACCACAAAUAAAUCACCAGUGGUCUGCACCUCACAAGGAGAUGCUUUGGUCCCUGGAAACCUUAGUGGGGGGUGAGUUACAGGGUGGAGAAGCCAGUCAGUUCUCAGGGAACGUGGUGAAAACACAGGCCUCCCCAGCGCCCUUACACAAACCUCCAUUCUCUGCACCACUCACGUCAGCAAUCCACAAAUCUCUCAUCCGCAAACUUGCUCCUGCACUGGAGAGUUAGAGGGGGGCACACAGGAUUCCAUGGACCCGGUCAGAUGCUCCACAAUUCUUCUGCUUGCCAUGCUGCCUCCAGGACUGGCCAGUUCUAGAACACUUCUCCCUGAGUGCAGCGCAUGCCACUGAGUCCAGAAACAUAUCAUCUGUACUAGUAGGUUAGAUGAUUUCCACUUCUCCGGAAACACAGAUAAUCAUUCUGCCUUGCAUUUAAUAUAGAGAUUGUAGCAUUAAUAAUAUUAGCUAAUAUUGAUUCAGUUCUAUAAUGCUCACCCCAUGUAACUGAAUAUAAAUUGCUUUAUUAAAAACUCUGACUUUUCUAGAACCUGUCUUUGAGGUUCUAAACAGACUGAGAAGUCUUAAAUCUCCAGUGUGUAGCAGAGUUGAUCUUGCAUUAGGGUUGUUUCAUGAGAACGUGAACAAAAGCUAGUGCUCUCCCAAAAAAAUAACAGGACACCAUAUUUACCAGUAGCAAUAUUUAAAAAGUAAAAAAUAAACAAGUGAGGAGUUCCCCUCAUGGUUCCGU